GGGCCCGCACAAGCGGUGGAGCAUGUGGUUUAAUUCGAUGCAACGCGAAGAACCUUACCAGGGCUUGACAUACUACAGAUCCUUUUGAAAAAAGGGAGUGCCUUCGGGAAUGUAGAUACAGGUGGUGCAUGGCUGUCGUCAGCUCGUGUCGUGAGAUGUUGGGUUAAGUCCCGCAACGAGCGCAACCCUUAUUUUUAGUUACCAACUCGUUGGGUUCUCUAGAAAGACUGCCGGUGACAAACCGGAGGAAGGUGAGGAUGACGUCAAGUCAGCAUGCCCCUUAUGUCCUGGGCUACACACGUGCUACAAUGGCUAAGACAAAGAGUCGCGAGCUUGCAAGAGUCAGCUAAUCUCAUAAACCGUGGCUCAGUUCAGAUCGUAGGCUGCAACUCGCCUACGUGAAGGCGGAAUCGCUAGUAAUCGCAGGUC
rnacentral:rRNA from 1 species